rnacentral:rRNA from 1 species
CCUACGGGAGGCAGCAGUGGGGAAUAUUGGACAAUGGGCGCAAGCCUGACCCAGCAACGCCGCGUGAAGGAAGAAGGCCUUCGGCUUGUAAACUUCUUUUGUCAGGGACGAAGCAAGUGACGGUACCUGACGAAUACGCCACGGGGCACUACGUGCCAGCCGCCGCGGUAAGACGUAGGUGGCACGCGUUAUCCGGAUUUACUGGGUGUAAAGGGCGUGUAGGCGGGACUGCAAGUCAGAUGUGAAAACCACGGGCUCAACCUGUGGCCUGCAUUUGACACUGUAGGUCUGGAGUACUGGAGGGGCAGACGGAAUUCCUGGUGUAGCGGUGAAAUGCGUAGAUAUUAGGAGGAACACCAGUGGCGAAGGCGGGCUGCUGGACAGCAACUGACGCUGAGGCGCGAAAGCGUGGGGAGCAAACAGGAGUAGAUACCCGAGUAGUC